rnacentral:lncRNA from 1 species
CAGUCAAUGUUAUAUAAAAGGCCGUGCAUUUCGCUUAUUUUGUCAUGAUAGAAACAAAAAUUAAACCAAUUAUGGGUUGCAAUUCAUAUUUGCUUACUUUCAUCUUGAUCAAUUGCCUGCUACUUUCACAUACUACUUGCAUGGCCGGCAGGGUCACUGGUUCUGUGUCUUUGCCGCCCCCUCCCGUGGCCAAUCAUCGGAUCACACCCAAGCCUCCAAUUCCCACACCGAAGGCCAAUCCUCCUCCGCCGCCAUCAUCAUCAGUUGCUCCUCCGUAAUUAAUCAGUUCUAUUUUUCACAUCCAUUAUCGAUAUAGAUCUUCAGCUUAGCCUGAGUGAUAGAGACUGCGCAUGAGUAAAAUCUGCUUUUCGUGUUUGAUUUUUGUUAUCUGUCCAAAUUCAGUUCACAUGUGUACUGGAUUCCGAUUUUUAUAUCUUAAUUAAAUUUUAUCUCGACCUAAAAAAGGAUGUAUUCUGAAUAGAAUCAAUAUGUCCUUGAUUUUUUAUUUAGUUUAAUAUGUAUGAAUCCUAAAAU